rnacentral:rRNA from 1 species
CCUACGGGAGGCAGCAGUAGGGAAUCUUUCACAAUGGGCGAAAGCCUGAUGGAGCAACGCCGCGUGCAGGAUGAAGGCUUUCGGGUUGUAAACUGCUUUUAUAAGCGAGAAAUAUGAUGGUAACUUAUGAAUAAGGAUCGGCUAACUACGUGCCAGCAGCCGCGGUCAUACGUAGGAUCCGAGCAUUAUCCGGAGUGACUGGGUGUAAAGAGUUGCGUAGGUGGCAUAAUAAGUAGCUAUUGAAAUCUGGUGGCUCAACCAUUCAGACUAUUAGCUAAACUGUUAAGCUCGAGACCGUUAGGGGUAACUGGAAUUUCUAGUGUAGGAGUGAAAUCCGUAGAUAUUAGAAGGAACACCAAUAGCGUAGGCAGGUUGCUGGGACGGUUCUGACACUAAGGCACGAAAGCGUAGGGAGCAAACGGGAUUAGAUACCCGUGUAGUC